AGCGAACGCUGGCGGCAGGCCUAACACAUGCAAGUCGAACGAAGUCUUCGGACUUAGUGGCGGACGGGUGAGUAACACGUGGGAACGUGCCUUUAGGUUCGGAAUAACUCAGGGAAACUUGUGCUAAUACCGAAUGUGCCCUUCGGGGGAAAGAUUUAUCGCCUUUAGAGCGGCCCGCGCCUGAUUAGCUAGUUGGUGAGGUAAAGGCUCACCAGGGCGACGAUCAGUAGCUGGUCUGAGAGGAUGAUCAGCCACAUUGGGACUGAGACACGGCCCAAACUCCUACGGGAGGCAGCAGUGGGGAAUCUUGCGCAAUGGGCGAAAGCCUGACGCAGCCAUGCCGCGUGAAUGAUGAAGGUCUUAGGAUUGUAAAAUUCUUUCACCGGGGACGAUAAUGACGGUACCCGGAGAAGAAGCCCCGGCUAACUUCGUGCCAGCCGCCGCAGUAAUAC
rnacentral:rRNA from 1 species